rnacentral:rRNA from 1 species
UUGGAGGGCAAGUCUGGUGCCAGCAGCCGCGGUAAUUCCAGCUCCAAUAGCGUAUAUUAAAGUUGUUGCAGUUAAAAAGCUCGUAGUUGAAUUUCGGGAUUGACGUGACGGUCGUGCCUUAAGGGGUAUGAACUGUCGCAGUUGAUUUCUCACCUUCUGGAGAAGCAUGAUGUCCUUAAUUGGGUGUCAUGUGGAACCAGGACCUUUACCUUGAAAAAAUUAGAGUGUUUAAAGCAGGCAUUUUGCUCGAAUACAUUAGCAUGGAAUAAUAGAAUAGGACGGCAUGGUUCUAUUUUGUUGGUUUCUAGGAUCACCGUAAUGAUUAAUAGGGAUAGUUGGGGGCAUUAGUAUUCAAUUGUCAGAGGUGAAAUUCUUGGAUUUAUUGAAGACUAACUACUGCGAAAGCAUUUGCCAAGGAUGUUUUCAUUAAUCAAGAACGAAAGUUAGGGGAUCGAAGGCGAUCAGAUACCGUCGUAGUCUUAACCAUAAACUAUGCCGACUAGGGAUCGGAUGAUGUUAAUUUUUUAAUGACUCAUUCGGCGCCUUACGGGAAAC